rnacentral:lncRNA from 1 species
CUGCACUCAUAUAAAAUACCUCUCCUCUUUCUUCUCCCUACGCUUUCCUCUCCCUUUCUUCUUGUCCCAUCUCUCUCUCUCUCUCUCUAUCUCAGCGUUAGGUUGAAGAAGAUCUCUUGGUGGGCAAAAGAGACUAUAGAGCUGAGGUUUAUGGUCGGUGAAAUCUACAUUGAGGUUAGAUUUCUGUGUCCCCAUGUCCCUUUUUGUUCUUUUGAUACCUUAUUCAAGAGUAAAAUUUUUUUUUCUUUUGUUAUCUCGAAUGUUCUUCCCCCCAAGUUAGAUAAAUUUUUCGUAAAUUUUAUCAUACUGAUGGAACUAUA